rnacentral:snRNA from 1 species
AUGCUAUGGCAGCACAUAUACUAAGACUGGAAUGAUGCAGAGAAGAUGAGCAUGGCCUCUGCCUAUUUGUAUAUUGCUAUCUUGAAAUUCUCGAACUUGGG